rnacentral:rRNA from 1 species
UUUCGCGCGAUCGCCUUGAGUUGAUCAUGGCUCAGAAUCAACGCUGGCGGCGUGCCUAACACAUGCAAGUCGAACGCGGUUAUCCCGCAAGGGAUGACUGAGUGGCGAACGGGUGAGUAACACGUGGGUGACCUACCUUCGAGUAGGGGAUAACGUCCCGAAAGGGACGCUAAUACCGCAUAACAUCCUGCCUUUGAACAGGUGGAGAUCAAAGCCGGGGACCGCAAGGCCCGGCGCUUGGUGAGGGGCCCGCGUCCGAUUAGCUAGUUGGUGAGGUAAUGGCUCACCAAGGCAACGAUCGGUAGCCGGCCUGAGAGGGCGGACGGCCGCACUGGGACUGAGACACGGCCCAGACUCCUACGGGAGGCAGCAGUGGGGAAUUGUUCGCAAUGGGCGCAAGCCUGACGACGCAACGCCGCGUGGAGGAUUAAGGUCUUCGGAUUGUAAACUCCUGUUGCCCGGGACGAACAGCUUUGACCUAAUACGUCAAAGUCUGACGGUACCGGGUGAGGAAGCCCCGGCUAACUCUGUGCCAGCAGCCGCGGUAAUACAGAGGGGGCAAGCGUUGUUCGGAAUUACUGGGCGUAAAGGGCGCGUAGGCGGCCUGCUAAGUCGAACGUGAAAUCCCCGGGCUCAACCCGGGAACUGCGUCCGAUACUGGCAGGCUUGAAUUCGGGAGAGGGAUGCGGAAUUCCAGGUGUAGCGGUGAAAUGCGUAGAUAUCUGGAGGAACACCGGUGGCGAAGGCGGCAUCCUGGACCGAAUUGAC